UCCUUUUCAAACAUGCUGUCUCGGUCGAAGAGGACGACAUUCCCCGAAUAGAGGAGGACCCGUCUUCGGUUAAGGGUAUACGAGUAGCUGCACUCCCCUGCUAGAACCUCCAAACAAGCUCUCAAACAUGCUGUCUUAACCUUUACAUUGCAUUUGCUGUGUGUUUAGGC
rnacentral:sRNA from 1 species